AUUGAACGCUGGCGGCAGGCCUAACACAUGCAAGUCGAGCGGAUGAAGGGAGCUUGCUCCUGGAUUCAGCGGCGGACGGGUGAGUAAUGCCUAGGAAUCUGCCUGGUAGUGGGGGAUAACGUCCGGAAACGGGCGCUAAUACCGCAUACGUCCUGAGGGAGAAAGUGGGGGAUUUUCGGACAUAACGCUAUCAGAUGAGCCUAGGUCGGCUUAGCUCGUUGGUGGGGUAAAGGCCUACCAAGGCGACGAUCCGUAACUGGUCUGAGAGGAUGAUCAGGCACACUGGAACUGAAACACGGUCCAUGCUCCUACGGGAGGCAGCAGUGGGGAAUAUUGGACAAUGGGCGAAAGCCUGAUCCAGCCAUGCCGCGUGUGUGAAGAAGGUCUUCGGAUUGUAAAGCACUUUAAGUUGGGAGGAAGGGCAGUAAGUUAAUACCUUGCUGUUUUGACGUUACCAACAGAAUAAGCACCGGCUAACUUCGUG
rnacentral:rRNA from 1 species